rnacentral:rRNA from 1 species
UACGUAGGGUGCAAGCGUUGUCCGGAAUUAUUGGGCGUAAAGAGCUCGUAGGCGGUUUGUUGCGUCGGCUGUGAAAACCUGAGGCUCAACCUCAGGCCUGCAGUCGAUACGAGCAGACUAGAGUGUUGCAGGGGAGACUGGAAUUCCUGGUGUAGCGGUGAAAUGCGCAGAUAUCAGGAGGAACACCGAUGGCGAAGGCAGGUCUCUGGGCAUUAACUGACGCUGAGGAGCGAAAGCAUGGGGAGCGAACAGG